rnacentral:rRNA from 1 species
UACGAAGGGGGCUAGCGUUGUUCGGAAUCACUGGGCGUAAAGCGCAUGCAGGCGGAUUGUUAAGUCGGGGGUGAAAUCCCGAGGCUCAACCUCGGAACUGCCUUCGAUACUGGCAAUCUUGAGUCCGGGAGAGGUGAGUGGAAUUCCUAGUGUAGAGGUGAAAUUCGUAGAUAUUAGGAAGAACACCAGUGGCGAAGGCGGCUCACUGGUCCGGUACUGACGCUGAGGUGCGAAAGCGUGGGGAGCAAACAGG